UCAAACACAUCACAUCUCUCAAAGAGUUUCUUAGUAAUCAAAAUCAAUGGCAGGUAUCAAAGUUUUCGGACACCCAGCUUCCGCUCCCACCAUGAGAGUCCUCCUCACCCUCCACGAGAAAAACCUCGACUUUGAGUUCGUUCAUGUCGACCUCAUGGGAGGUGAGCACAAGAAAGAGGCUUUCCUAGCCCGCAACGUAAGUAUAUCUAUCUGUGUUGUUGUGAGACAGGAUAAACACUCAGAACCGGGCAAAAAAUUAAGCUCCUAUAAUUAAUGUUUAUUUAAUUUUUUUAACUUUUAAAAGUUAAUCAGUAAUAUUUUUGUAAAUUUCAUGAAAAAAAAACAAAACUAUACACAUAAAAUAUUUUGGGUCAUUUCAGUCUAAUUAAUCAAACUUUAAUUUUUGUAUAAAAAUAAUGUAUAUAUAUAAAAAGUUGAACUACUUAACUACUAGGAUUACAUGAAGACAUGGAUUUGAGCCCGGAGCGGCCAUACCGUUUGUCCCCCGAAUUAGCUGCCCGUUUUUGAUGAAUCUGGUCUAAAUCUUGAAUGUUUUGCGUUUGAUUGAUAUUGCAGCCUUUUGGUCAAGUUCCAGCCUUUGAAGAUGGAGACCUCAAGCUCUUUGGUACGAACGUUUUCGCAGAUCAUCUCAAAUAUGAUUUGACAAUAUGCAUAAAAAGAAGAAGAAACAUUCACUAACAUGAUUUGUUUCUUUUGUGUAGAAUCAAGAGCCAUUACUCAAUACAUAGCUCACCGAUACGAAGGCCAAGGAACCAACCUUCUCCCAGCUGACUCCAAGAACAUAGCCCACUAUGCAAUCAUGGCCAUCGGAAUGCAAGUAGAAGCUCACCAGUUCGAGCCAGUGGCUGCAAAGCUUGUUUCUGAACAAGUAUUUAAGCUCAAGAAAGGCUUGACCACAGACCAAGCCGUUGUUGCCGAAGAGGAGGCUAAGUUAGACAAGGUCCUUGAUGUCUACGAGGCUCGGCUCAAGGAGUUCAAGUACUUGGCUGGUGACACUUUUACUUUGACCGAUCUUCACCACAUUCCUACGGUUAAAUACUUGCUUGGAACUCCCACCAAGAAGCUCUUCACCGAGCGUCCACGUGUCAACGAGUGGGUGGCUGAGAUCACCAAGAGGCCAGCUUCCCAGAAGAUCCUUCAGUGAUAAGUUACUAAAAGCUUCUGCUUCAGUCGCAGUAAUAAUGCUCAGAGUUAAUAAGUUACUGCCUCAUUUCCAAUUUCUCAGUACUCUGUUUUUAUUCUCAGUUAUAACUAAGUGUGUGUUCUUGAGAGAUAUUUCUUGAAUCAUAAACUGUCUAAUCUUCAAGCUCUUCUAUAAUAAAAAGAUUAGUUACUUAUUUAAUACAAAGGUUGCAAUGUCUUGACUACAGAGUUACUGAUUAGUGAGCACAAAGACUUUGUUUGAUUAGUCUUUGCAAAUUUUUACUUUCUACCUUUGCAAGCUGACCUAAGACUUUGACUCCAUAAACAAUAGUAAAGAGUAAAGACACAUGAUGGAAAGAGAAAUCUAAAAACAAAGCAUAGCUCAGAUCACUCAAAUUGGAUUUGCUUUUUACCUUAACCCCUUUUAAGACGCUAGGUGAAGCAACCCAUCUCAUCUUUAGUCUCCAUUGUGUUGCUUGACUCAUCCCUCACUUUGACUUUACAGCUACCCAAUGAAUCGAGGGCAGAGACUGAGACAUAUACUUACAGCAUCUGGUCAUCCCAAAGUUAGAAGCUUUACAAUACUCACAUAUUGACUUUACCAAGAAAUAUCAUUUUUAGUUAGUAGAGUUUGUACGUCAUCAUCCCGGCCCAUGGCGUUCAAGGGACCAAAAAAGAAUAAUGGGAGAUCAUAAUAUCGACAUAGAUCCAACGGUCAAGAAUAAUGAUAGCAUUAAGAAGAUAUAAAGAUAUUUGAUAGUACAACAAUAUUUUUUGAAAGCCUAAGUUUCAAAAAAAAAAAAUUGAAAAUAAUUACCGAUAUUGUACUAUUUUAUAUUAAUUUAUGAAAUUAGUUUUACUCAUCUCUAAAUAAAUCAUAGUAGGUGAUUAUCUCUCGCUCAUGCACAAGGAUAUAAAUAAUUAUAAAUUAUAAUAAUUUAUUAAAAUUUAAGAUUAAAUUAUUUUGUAAUUUAUAUGUAUAAAAUAGUACUAUGUUAAUUUUUUAGACAUGUGAUUUUGGAUAUAAUAUUAAGUAUGUUUAAUUAUUAUUUAUGUAUAUUGGAUUUUAUUUACUUCUUUAAAAUCGACCAUAGUAAUUUUUUAUUUUCAUUUAGUUUGAUUGUUAUCUCAUAUCUGUAAAUAUAUAUGUUGUUUUGAGAAUCAAAUAAAAAAAAUUAACGUAUUGAUUAAUAAGUUACAUGAAUUAAUAUAAAUAUAAUCUUGUAAACAGUCAGGCAUGUAUAUGAAUUAAAAAAAUAAAAUAAACUGUGACAAUUUAUUAAUAUGUUUAAACAAUUCCAUAAUUUAAAUGUAUAAAAUUAAUAAAAUAUUACUAUAAAUAAUAGCAUAUUAAUAUUUGAGUUAGAUAUUUGAUUUUAGGUAUAAGAAUUUGUAUUAGUCAAGUUAAUAAUUUUGUGGAUUAUAUUGAGUUACAUAUGUUUUUUUAAUGUUAAGAACAUUAGUUUAGUUCUUCACCGUAAAUGCGUAAGAUUCAGAAAAAAAGAAUGUGUAAGUUUACUUUCAUAAUUUUUUGUAUUACUGAUAUUUGUUUUUUAAUAAAGAAAUUCUUAAAGUAAAACUAAAAAUGAUCAAUAUGAAGGUGCAUAAAUGAAAAUAACUAAUAAAUUUUUAAAAGAUCAUGAAUGGAUAUCAAUAUUUUAAAAAAUUAUGUAAAAUAGGUCUAUAGUAAAAAUAAUAUUUUUAGUUUCACUUUCUAAUAUAUGACUUAUUUCUUAAAGUCAAUUUCAAAAGCAACAACAUUAUUUAAUAUUUCUAAAAUAAAUACUUUUUGAGAAAUCAUGUUAUGUAAGUAACUUUCAAAAUUUCUUUAGAUAUUUUCAUCAGUGUAGUACCGUAAUUGAAUAAAAGUUAUAAGAAGUUUGAGUCAUUUGGCAGUUACUACAGACUUGUUUGAUCUUCUCUCUGAUGACAUUGAAUGCUUUAUCUAGAAGGAAAAAAACUUUAUUCCAUAACCAAAUUUAUAAACAAACUUCAUUCAAUCCAAUUUAACUUUAAAAAACCUCUAGAAAAACAAGUCAAUAUUGGUUGCGACGGUCUUGUAGAUGCAUUGUGUAUAAGUUGAAUAAUAUGUAACAUUAAUGAGAAUGCACAAAAAUUCUCUGUUUUUUACUUGUAUAAAUACCAUCACCACUUGUGUCUUAUUUCAUCACAUUCACCUUCAAACAUCAAACAUCACAUCUCUUAAAACAGUUUCUUUGUAUCAAUGGCAGGUAUCAAAGUUUUCGGACACGCUGCUUCCAUUUCCACCAGAAGAGUCCUCCUCACCCUCCACGAGAAAAACCUCGACUUUGAGCUCGUUCAUGUCGACCUCAAGGACGGUGAGCACAAGACAGAGUCUUUCCUAUCCCACAACGUAAGUAUAUACUUAAUCGUUUCAUUUUAAAUCCGUUUCAUUUUAAAUGUAGUUGUAGAAUUUAAAUUUUAUUUCAUUAUAAAUGACAUUUUAUAUUUUCAGUGCAAAUUUUUGAUGGUUUUUUCACUUUUAAUUCCUAUCUUUCAGCACA
rnacentral:lncRNA from 1 species